rnacentral:rRNA from 1 species
UACGUAGGGGGCAAGCGUUGUCCGGAUUUAUUGGGCGUAAAGAGCGUGUAGGCGGCCUUACAGGUCAGCUGUGAAAACUCGAGGCUCAACCUCGAGACGUCGGUUGAAACCGUAUGGCUAGAGUCCGGAAGAGGAGAGUGGAAUUCCCGGUGUAGCGGUGGAAUGCGCAGAUAUCAGGAGGAACACCAAUAGCGAAGGCAGCUCGCUGGGACGGUACUGACGCUAAGGCGCGAAAGCGUGGGGAGCGAACAGG